UAAUCUUUUCGUGCAAAGCAUAUCACGAUUUCUGCGCUUUGCGAGACCAAGUUACAAGCCAUCGCACUGCUCUUUUGUCUCCGUGUGUCGGUGUUCUUUCUCGUCGACACCCGAACGAGCGAGUCAGGCGUGUGCGUUCCUGCAAUCGAUUUUAAACUGGUUAGCUUGUCUCUUUAGCUCAGACCUCAGAUAAACCUGGCGAAUAAAGGAAUAAAUGGACAGAUUUGGCGACAGAGCGAAUAGAAUAGGAGAAUCGCUGUCGAGAAGCCAUGGGAGAGCGCGUCCGUCGUAUUACUGCCGGAUAGAAACGUUAAAUCUGAGAAGGGAAUAUUAUCUGGCUUUUGUUUUUCCCUCAUUCGUUAACUCUUUGCCUUGUAGACAUUUCUGUCGAUAGAAUUUUCUAUAACGGCACAUCUCACAAAUCACAGGUUUAUAUUAAUGCACUCGUUCUGAUGAUUUCUAUAGUAUCAGCUCAUAAACAGGGACUUUUUAUAAAGCGGAUGCUCCACAUAAUCUAUGGCUAAUAACAAAUGGAUUCUGUCUGUUUUAUAACUUUAAAGAGAGAGAAAAAAGGACAGGCUCGUGAGUUAAUAGCUGUUAUGAUGUGAGGGAUAACAGGGUCUGACGUGUUUUGCGGACCUUCCCCAACACGAAAAGAAACCACUAUGGAUAAAGUAGUAGUUGGUAAAUUGUUGCCGUAUGGCAACAAUGUGACAUGGUGGAAAGUAUCAUCUGACUACGUUUACAUGGACAGCAGUAAUCUCAACAUUGACCUUAUUCUGAAUAAGACUGUAUUCUGAUUAAGGUGUUUACAUGAGUCGCUUUUAGAAUAUUCCUUUCAUGUUCCUGUUUCACGUGUUAUAGAACAUAGAUCAGUUAACAGCACACGUCAUUACGUCACCGCGCCACGCCGUCCGACGUUCCCUCCAGAAUUUCACGUAUCAACACACGGUCGGUCUUCGUUAUGGAACCGUAUACAGUUUUGGGUGUUUUUGUUUAAUUUCUUUACGAACGCUUCGAGUGCGGUUAAUUAUUUGUCGUGCUGUACGUGCGAAUAGACGACCGCUUGAAGCCCCGUGCUCUCGUUUGCCGUAAAACGGUCGAGCGCUGCCGUGUGUGAUCGUGUCCUGUCGCAAAAUGCGGUGAAAACUCUCACACGGCGUUAAUAAUGUGAUUAAGGACUUUAUAUGUCUGUAAUACAUGUCGGUAAUGCGACUAAAACAGGAAUACUCUUAAUUCGAUUUGGGUUUACUUCGAGUAUGACUUUAAUCGGAUUAAGGUCAUUAAAAAUUGCUGUUUACAUGCUAGUUUCCUAAUCAGAGUAUCGUCUUAAUCGGGUUAAUAGUGGAUUAUUGUUGUCCAUGUAAACGCACUGAGUGUGACAUGGUGGAAAGUAUCAUAUAGUCAAAAAUUUGCAGAGAUUUAUUUAUUUAUUUAUUUUCCCUGCCAUCUAAUCAGCAUGCAAGUUACUACUUCUAGAAAGGAAUUACAGUUGUAAUUAAAUAGUAUGUGGAUGGAUUUCCUCACUCAAAA
ensembl:lncRNA